GAAGGCCCGUGGCUGGUGCAGGGUUCUGUCAAUCAUCUGAGGACCCGCCCAUUGCGUCAGCAGCGCUGAUCUGCAAUCGGCCAAUCGGUCUUGAUGUUUCCCCAAUCAAGCCAUCCUUUGUUCUGCCCUGCUGCUGCCUGUUCCCUGCUUCUGCUGGUGAAGAUCCUAUCUCACUGCCCUGCAGUGCCUUUGGCAGUCUUGCAGAUCUAACCUACACAAAUCUCUCCCUUGCCCCACAAGGUGCAGAUGGCUUUCAUGUCAGUGUUAUUGCUCAUCUUUCUCAUGGGAGCUCAGAGACCUCCCCCAAAUCGAGAAGCAGCCCCAGGACUGGAACUUCCCCAUCAUGUCUGAAAUUGCUCAGUAUGAUGCGGUCUGAGACCUUCUUUCCUUGGCUUAUACCUUUGUUAACAUUGGCCUCUUUGGGUUAAAGUUUUUCACACUGACCAUCUACUUCAACUCAAAUGGGGUUGUAAAGUUAUGACCAAAAAUAUUCGGCUGCAUCCAAGCAAGAGGCUAUAGAAAGAUUAUUUUUUUCCUUCUUAAAAUAUUCUGUCCUUUGUGUCUUAGAAAAUCUCAAAAGUCCUCUACUACAUUGGAGCAGAGCUUUGAGAUUUGGCUGAGGGUGGUGCCUUCUUUGGGAGAUGCCAUUUUCUGUCCCCAGGAAAAGCUCCGUAAGUGUGGCCAAGCUGACCAAAUUGGUCCUUUCAGAAAAAGGUGGUAUAUCCAUGCUCAGUAGACAUUUGGAUCUUAACAGGUUAUUUUGCUCCAACUCAUAUCCCCAUUGUCCAUACUCCAGCUUAUAGGGACAUGCUGUUUUGUCAAGUCAGGGAGGUUCUCCUUUUUCCAUUAGUAUAGUUAGAAUAUUUACCUGGGAGGGGUAAGAUCCAGGUCAAAAACCCUCCUGUGCCUGCGGAGAUUCAAACUCACAUUUCCCUCCUCUGAGGAGAACGCUCCAGUCAGUAGGACAUAUGCUAUUUUGCAGUUGGCUCCUGUCAAAGACUGAAGCUAGCCCACUCUGCACAGAGGUGUGUACCAGCAGGCAGUGUGUGUUCAUCUCCCUGGCAAUAAAAGGGCUGGAAACCAGGUCUCCCACAACCCAAAUGGCUGCUGUAACCAUUUAGAUAUUCAACUUUUCCUCAAGAAUAGUCAAGCAGCCCAUCAGUAUGAACAUACUGUUUAGUAGAUUUACAUGUCAAAAUAUGCACAUCUAUAAUCAUUUGCUACCUUUUCUUCCAUUGGGUAGUGAUAGCUCCAAACAAUACAAAGAAUGAGAGCACCUUCUUAAUCAAUCACACCAUCUACAGCCUCAUAGGCAGCCAGACAGCUACAGAGAAAACCUCUAGCAGUGCAUCUUCAUUAAUUGAUCAGAAUGACUCUUGAAUUAGUUUGAGCUAUCCAUCUAACCAGAGAAGCUGCUUGGUAAGUCCUUAAUGGGCAGAGAAUUGGAAGGGCUCUUCUGCCAAGCUUACCAAGUAAAGUGGUGGAGCAAGGAAUGGGGUCCAUGAGUUUGCAGUCCCUCAGUUGUGAUCCAAAAGUAGCUUUUGUAGUGUGGAUGUUAUUUGUAAUCCCAUUUCUCAGGGGUUUUGCCAGUCACUAGUUGCAUUUGGUACAAGCUUCUGGGUGUUUUUCACUUUCCUCUGCAGCACUGGGGUAUAAUUAGAAGAACAUGGUGUCUGUUCUCCUAGCAGCCUGGCUUACUGUUUCUGCAUAGACUCAUUGUAGGGCCAAGGAGGGAGAGAGAAAAAGCAAAUUCAUAACAUGUAGCAGGCUUCCCUUUUGGAGCUUGGGUUAAGUCCCAGGCUUGAAAUCUUGCUGUUUUGAUUGGUGGAGCCCAACCACCAAUCAGGAGGGAGCAAAAGGA